rnacentral:ncRNA from 1 species
CGGUUUUGAGUUCCCGGAGUAAUAUCUGGGCUGAGAGGGAAUCAGGUGAGAAUCCUGAACAGUCGUGCUACUGUAUUUGCGUAGGUGUUUCAUUACCAUUGUACGAAGACGGUAUGAGAAGGGAAACACUGUGAUUGCAUAAGCCAGGAGACCUGCUUAAAAUUGU